CUAACAUGUAUGCGAGCCUGCGGGUGUUUACACCUUGCCAGGCGUAAGGAAACUGAUGUGUGGGAUCCCCUUCGGGGGUGCACCACCGACCGACCAUGAGCUUUUGUGAAAGGUUCGAGUGUAAGCAUACCUGCUGGGACCCGAAAGAUGGUGAACUAUGCCUGGGCAGGGCGAAGCCAGAGGAAACUCUGGUGGAGGCUCGUAGCGAUACUGACGUGCAAAUCGUUCGUCAGACUUGGGUAUAGGGGCGAAAGACUAAUCGAACCAUCUAGUAGCUGG
rfam:Selaginella moellendorffii unplaced genomic scaffold SELMOscaffold_125, whole genome shotgun sequence.